rnacentral:rRNA from 1 species
UACAGAGAUUGCAAGCGUUAUUCGGAUUCACUGGGCGUAAAGGGUGCGUAGGUGGUCGGGUGUGUCAGAUGUGAAAUCCCGAGGCUCAACCUCGGAACUGCGUCUGAAACUAUUCGGCUAGAGUACUGGAGAGGGUAACGGAAUUCACGGUGUAGCAGUGAAAUGCGUAGAUAUCGUGAGGAACACUAGAGGUGAAGGCGGUUACCUGGACAGUUACUGACGCUCAGGCACGAAAGCAUGGGGAGCAAAA